rnacentral:rRNA from 1 species
AACGAACGCUGGCGGCGUGCCUAACACAUGCAAGUCGAACGGAGAUAAGAAGCUUGCUUCUUAUUUUAGUGGCGCACGGGUGAGUAACGCGUGGAUAAUCUACCUGAUGCUCUGGGAUAACAUCUCGAAAGGGGUGCUAGUACCGGAUAAGCCCUCGAUCUCUUCGGAGAAUGCGGGAAAAGGAGGGGACCUUCGGGCCUUCCGACGUCAGAUGAGUCCGCGUCCCAUUAGCUAGUUGGCGGGGUAAUGGCCCACCAAGGCUACGAUGGGUAGCUGGGCUGAGAGGAUGAUCAGCCACACUGGAACUGAGACACGGUCCAGACUCCUACGGGAGGCAGCAGUGGGGAAUUUUGCGCAAUGGGGGAAACCCUGACGCAGCAACGCCGCGUGAGUGAUGAAGGCUUUCGGGUCGUAAAGCUCUGUCAGAAGGGAAGAAAUGUAGGUGGCUAAUAUCCAUUCUACUUGACGGUACCUUCAAAGGAAGCACCGGCUAACUCCGUGCCAGCAGCCGCCGUAAUAC